rnacentral:rRNA from 1 species
GGCAGACGGGUGAGUAACACGUGGAUGACCUGCCCUCAAGACUGGGAUAACGGGUGGAAACACGCGCUAAUACCGGAUAGACUUCUGGGGUCGCAACCAGAAGUAAAGCUACGGUGCUUGAGGAGGGGUCCGCGGCCCAUCAGCUAGUUGGCAGGGUAACGGCCUACCAAGGCGAAGACGGGUAGGGGGUGUGAGAGCACGGCCCCCCACAAUGGGACUGAGAGACGGCCCAUACUCCUACGGGAGGCAGCAGCAGGGAAUAUUGCACAAUGGACGGAAGUCUGAUGCAGCGACGCCGCGUGGAUGAAGAAGGCCUUCGGGUUGUAAAAUCCUUUUCGGGGGGAAGAGGAAGGACGGUACCCCCGGAAUAAGCGUCGGCUAACUACGUGCCAGCAGCCGCGGUAAUACGUAGGACGCGAGCGUUAUCCGGAUUUACUGGGCGUAAAGCGUCUGUAGGCGGAUGAGUAAGUUGGACGUGAAAGCUCCGGGCUUAACCCGGAGAGGCCGUUCAAUACUGCUUGACUAGAGGGCGUGAGAAGGGAGCGGAAUUCC